rnacentral:snRNA from 1 species
AGCUUUGUGCAGUGGCAAUAUCCUAUCCAAUGAAGUUUAUCAGAGGUGUGAUUAUUGCUAAUUGAAAACUUUUCCCAACACCCCGCCAUGAUGACUUGAAAUAUAGUCAGCAUUGGCAAUUUUUUUUUUAGUCGAAA